rnacentral:misc_RNA from 1 species
GGGGAAGAAUUAUUUACAAACUUUGAAUCGUUCGACUCGGUCGAACGACAUUCGCGCGCGGUUUUCAAGGAACGAAACGAAACGUGUUUGUUCUUCGAGCGAAACAAUCGCUCGAAAAUCAUUGGAAACGAAGAGUUUCGAGGGGAAGCUCGUCGAACGAUCGACACGCUGCCGGAAGAGGAAGGUGCGCGGUGGUGAUUGGUCCGCAGACUGUCAAAAGAUUCGAAUCCCGGAACGUUUCUUCGGCUUCUGCCGUUCUCCAGUUCCUCCCUUCCUCAACGUGUUCGGUGCUAUUAUUGCUGUGCCGCCUAAAUAUAGUGUCUCGGUGGAAGCAUCGACGCGAUGAAGCAGCCGAUGCAGUGGAUAUUGGUCUACUUCUGGACUCUUGGCUUGACAAAGGCGUACCAUUUUCAAAACGAAAUCGUCGAGCCACUUUUGAAUUACAACGGAGCAAAAAGAUCCCAUUGUCCAGCAAUUGCACACAAACAACCAGCCAAUAGACAAGAUACAUCAUUAAGAUUGAGACAAUUAAGAUCGGAAAUGACUCGGGUCGCUUCCAUUCAAGGACCGCCUCUUGAUGGAUAUAUAGUUACUUCCGAUGACGCACAUCAGACAAUGAACUUGGUUUAUCAUGGCCGCGAGGGCCCUUUGGAGAGUGAUUCUCUAGAUCCUCGUGAUAUGAGAAGAGAAUUCAUCACUGGAUUCUACGGAAGUGCUGGAGAAGCUAUUAUCACUUUGAGCAAAGCUGUAUUCUGGACUGAUGGAAGAUAUUAUAUUCAGGCGGAUCAUCAGCUUGAUUGCAAUUGGAUACUCAUGAAACGUGGUAGAGAAGAUGUUCCUUCUAUAACCGAAUGGUUAAUACACGAAUUUCACAACCAAGCUCUUGUACGUAUUGGCGCUGAUCCAACACUCGUAUCUGCCAUUGAUUGGGAAAUCUGGGAAGAUGAAUUAGCAAAUUCGUCCAUAAGAUUGGUUCCUGUCCGUAACAACCUGGUGGACUUGAUCUGGCAGGUCAAUCGACCGAAUUACAAUCCACAUCCGGCGUAUCCAUUACCGGACAAAUAUUCCGGAAGAGCAUGGCAGGACAAGAUUCAGUCGAUUCGAAUCGAAAUGGAGGUAUCUAAAGCAGACGCCCUGGUCCUCACGGCACUCGAUGAGAUAGCCUGGUUGUUCAAUGUUCGUGGAUACGAUUUGCCACACACCCCUGUUCUUAGAGCGUACGCCAUAAUUACUGGUGAAUCGAUACAUCUGUACACACCACGACACAAGAUUUUACGAUCGGUAGAGGAACACUUAAAGAUGGAUUUUUGCUCGCAUGCAAAUUGCGUGAAAUGGCAUAAUUACACUUCUAUUUGGUACGAUUUACGAACAAUGUCUCAAGCUUGGAAUUCAGUAUGGUUGCCAACGAGAUGCGGUUACAGUCCAGGUGCUUCUAUGGAGAUAUUCAACUCUAUUCCUCCGGAGAAACGGUUACCAAAACCAUCGCCAGUGUUAAGCUUGCGAGCCCAAAAGAAUGAAAUCGAGGCGGAGGGAAUGAGAAGAUCCCAUUUAAGGGAUGCUGUAGCAAUGUGCGAUUUCCUCGCAUACAUGGAGUGGCAAUACGAGUUGAAUUCAGAUGGUUGGGAUGAGAUGCAGGUAGCCAGAUUGGCGAACGAGUUUCGUUACGAACAGGAGAAGAAUAAAGGCAUCUCCUUCCCUACCAUCGCUGGAUAUGGACCCCAUGCUGCCAUUCCCCAUUACGAGCCAAACAAUUUGACAAAUAUUAAAAUUGGAAGGACGUCCACCUUGGUGGUGGAUUCAGGAGGGCAAUAUUUAGACGGAACCACCGAUGUGACAAGAACACUUCAUUUUGGUACACCAACGGAAGAACAAAAAAAAGCGUAUACAAGAGUGUUGAUCGGCGCAAUACAAUUGUCCUCUUUAAUAUUUCCAAGCAAUUUAAAAUCCAAUCAAUUGGACAUCGUCGCAAGAGAGCCAUUAUGGAACAUCGGUUACGACUAUUUGCACGGAACUGGCCAUGGGAUCGGUCACUUUCUGUCUGUCCACGAAUCACCUAUUGGUAUAUCGUAUGCACAUGUUACAACAUCAGAUAAAGUUUGCGGACCUAUUGAAUUAAAACCAGGAUUCUUUUUAUCGAAUGAACCUGGUUAUUACAAACAAGGCGAUUUUGGUAUACGUUUGGAGAACGUCCUUGAAACAGUGGUGGCAGGCAAAGCUCAGAAAUAUUCUUGAAAUUCAGGGAUGUUACGUUAGUUCCCUAUGAACCAAAAUUGAUCGAUAAUAAUAUGUUAAAUCCGUCUCACAUACGAUGGCUGAAUAAUUAUAAUCGUCGAAUUAGAGAUGAAAUAGGUGCAGAAUUAAAAAAAAGAUUAAGAAUGGAUGCUUUCGAUUGGAUGAUGAAAAAAACUGCAACCAUUCCAGAAAUAAGACGAAUCGACGAAGAAUU